rnacentral:rRNA from 1 species
GUCUAUGUCCAUACCACCCUGAAUGCGCCCGAUCUCAUCAGAUCUCGGAAGCAAAGCAGGGUUGGGCCUGGUUAGUACUUGGAUGGGAGAAAUUCAGAAGCUGAAGGCU